UGGGGGAUAUUGCACAAUGGGCGAAAGCCUGAUGCAGCGACGCCGCGUGGGGGAUGAAGGCCUUCGGGUUGUAAACUUCUUUUGCUCUGAACAAGGCAUGCUAAUGGGUGUGUUGAGUGUAGGGGUUGAUUGGCGCCGGCUAACUACGUGCCAGCAGCCGCGGUAAUACGUAGGGCGCGAGCGUUGUCCGGAAUUAUUGGGCGUAACGGGCUUGUAGGUGGCUGGUUGCGUCUGUCGUGAAAGCUCAUGGCUUAACUGUGGGUUUGCGGUGGGUACGGGCUGGCUCGAGUGCAGUAGGGGAGGCUGGAAUUGCUGUUGUAGCGGUGGAAUGCGCAGAUAUCAGGAGGAAUACAGGUGGCGAAGGCGGGUCUCUGGGCUGUUACUGACACUGAGGUGCGAAAGCAUGGGGAGCGAACAGG
rnacentral:rRNA from 1 species